UACGGGCACAUCAUGUCGAAACACCAGUUUUCAUAUGAUCAUCGAAGUUAAGCAACAUCAAGCUUGGUCAGUACCUAGAUGAGUGACCACAUGGGAAUACCAGCUGCUGUAAG